UACCUGACUUUAGUGAUUUGUAUCCCAUUUUAACUCUACUUAAUGGGAGUGAAUGAUUAUAGUUUCAGUGUAGAGUUUCCAGCUUAACUAAUGAUUGAUGUUACACAUUUAUGAAAAAAAUUAUCCUGAUUAAUGUAAGUCCAAGUGAGAUGUGAUAAACUUAAAUUAAUCUUUUGAUUCUCAAUCAUACAUAAUAUUUAUUAACCAUUUUGUUUUGUGAAAGUACCAUAUACUUCAGUACUCUUCUAAUUUUCUGUAGUCUAAGUACUGUCUCUUACAUAGGAAAAAAUUUAUGGUGGCUUCUGUUACUUCAAGCGUGAAAGAGUUAUAUUUUAAAUGUUGGUAGCUGCAAGCUGCUUCAGGCACCUCUGAUAUUUUAUAGGGUGUGGAUAUAGUUAGACGUAAGCAUUGUUGUUUGUUGUUUUGUUAGGGUUUCUUGUUUUUGUUUUUGGCAAAUGGAUCCUAGAUAGAAUGUAAGUCUGUGCUGAGUUUGAUGGUUUAAAUGUGAAUUUAGAUUCGGAGGUUAUUGAUUUGUCAGUAUACAGCAGAAUGCACGAAAUUAAACGAAAGCCCAGCAGUAGUUUCUACUGGGUAUCUGCUAGCAUCGUGGAGAGACAUUUUAUUCGCACAGAGGAGUGAAAGGGUUUUCAAAGAAACACUGAUGAACCAACCUGUUCUGUUUUUGUCCAAAAGUGUGUCUCAGCAUUUUAGUGCUACUUUGUAGAAGCUAUGAAAACUGGAAAAAUUUGGUUUUUGUUGUGAACUAGCUUAUAUCCUCCAACAUUCACAUAAAGGAGAAACUUCUGAGAUAGCUCAUCAGAGAAUUAUACAGAUUUUUACUUUUUUCACUUUUAGAAACAUAGCAGUACGUUCACUAUGUAAUUUUUUAAAGUACUUUAUCACACAUUAUAACAUUAGUGUUCAUCCCACAACUCAGGUAGGUGGAACAGUUGAGCAUAUCAUGAUCUAGAAAAUGUGCAGAGGUUUCAGUGGGAGAGGUAGGUGGGUUUAAACAUUUAUCCUGAGGGACCAGGUAGCUUGGAGUAGGAUUUUAAUCUAAAGUGUAUUUGGGCUCAUUUUCUCCAAAGGUCUUAGAAAGGAUACACCAGUAAGUAUUAAAGUUAAUCUAAAAAGAGGUAGAAAUGUGGGAGCUUAAUUGUAUAUCCAAGAAUACACCCAUGCUUCUUUUCCUCUGAAUUCAUAUCCUUUGAAGCCUUUACAGAUUUUUUCAUCAUAGGCCUAGAAUAUCCUGAGUUCACAAAUUACAAAGUUUUUUCUAUUUCAGAGGUAAAGUACCAACCUAGGGCCCUCUAAUUCCUAUAAGAGUUUUAGGAUGGAGUUUCUUUUAACUCAGAAACAACAGUUAUGGAAGCAGUGAGUUUUUAUUUUCGCAAGGCUUUUGUGACAUAGAAAUGGAGAUUUUUGUAAUGUACAUUAACAGUUAACUGUGUAGAAAUUGUCUAAGUGCUUAGAAUUUUUAAAUCCAUUUUAGUAGCCUUCUGUUUUUCUUUGAAGAAGGAUAAUAUGUGUGCUGGUUUUUCUUUUACUCUCCUCAAGUCAGAAUCCGUUCUUUGCCUGCUUGGAGGCCAUGGGACUUAGCCUUGCUAACUGCCUCACAGCUCCCUGUGGACUGGUUUCCUGUGGUUUAAUUCAGGAAGCACUGAAUUCAUGGGGACCAUGGUGCCGGAUGCUGAGAAGGGUGUCCACUGCCAGAGUCCUGGGCCUUCAUGAAGAAUGAUCCAGAAGCAAGCUCAUCCUCCUCAAGCCUGAAACCAAGCCUAGACUCCUGUCUGACUAUGUGCACCUGUUGGUUUUGACUCCAGACUCCUCCACUGAGGUGUCUGCACAAAAAUCUGGUCUAGAAGACUAUUGCGAGCAGUUUAUUAAAGCAGACUUAAUUAAUAUGGAAUAUAUGUGGAUUUUCCAGAGCUGGAACAUGGCUAGUUUCCUAAACAAUUGUGUAAUGUUAAAAGACUGAAUGGAAGGAUUAUAAUCUUAAGGCCUUCAAAAGAAUCCAGGAACAUUCAGUGUGACACCUGUAUCAGCAGAUGACAAUACUACUUACUCGGGGAAAAUGGUAUUAUUGCUGUGCUUUCUUAAGACACUGUGCUGGGCUCAUUGAAGAGUGAGUGAGCUGCAAAUGUGUGCUCUGCCUACAAGCUGCCUACAACCUGAGCGAGUGCCUGGCUUAGCGACCCCCUGUCAGCUGAAGUAGAGCUGGGGUUUUGGAAGACUUCUGGGAAUGUUUGCCCAGCAUCUAGAACAGGACAAACACACAGUUGGCACUUGGUAAGUGUAUGUGAAUUACCGGAAUGGAUAGACUAAGUAUUUGAUGAGAGACAAUUGUAU